rnacentral:tRNA from 1 species
GCAAAUAUAGUUUAACAAAAACAUUAGAUUGUGAAUCUAAACAUAAAAGUUUAAAUCUUCUUAUAUGCC